rnacentral:rRNA from 1 species
GACGAACGCUGGCGGCGUGCUUAACACAUGCAAGUCGAACGCUGAAGCUCAGCUUUUGUUGGGUGGAUGAGUGGCGAACGGGUGAGUAACACGUGAGUAACCUGCCCCCUUCUUUGGGAUAACGCCCGGAAACGGGUGCUAAUACUGGAUAUUCACUGGUCUUCGCAUGGGGGUUGGUGGAAAGGGUUUUUCUGGUGGGGGAUGGGCUCGCGGCCUAUCAGCUUGUUGGUGGGGUGAUGGCCUACCAAGGCUUUGACGGGUAGCCGGCCUGAGAGGGUGACCGGUCACAUUGGGACGGAGAUACGGCCCAGACUCCUACGGGAGGCAGCAGUGGGGAAGAUUGCACAAUGGGCGCAAGACUGAUGCAGCGACGCCGCGUGAGGGAUGGAGGCCUUCGGGUUGUGAACCUCUUUCGCUCAUGGUCAAGCCGCAACAAUGGUUGUGGUGAGGGUAGUGGGUAAAGAAGCGCCGGCUAACUACGUG